rnacentral:misc_RNA from 1 species
GGAAGGAUCAUUACCGAGCCGUGAGGGUCACCUGGAAACAGGCUUGACCUUUCACUUGGCCACCCUUGUUUACCUUAACCUGUUGCUUUGGUGGGCCCGCCGCAAUGGCCGCCGGGAAAUUUGUAUGUUCCGGGCCUGUGCCCACCAAAGUCUUUAUGAAUUCUUUGUUAUAUUUUUUGCUGUCUGAGCAUUAAAAGUAAAAAUAUACUUAAAACUUUCAACAACGGAUCUCUUGGUUCUGGCAUCGAUGAAGAACGCAGCGAAAUGCGAUAAGUAAUGUGAAUUGCAGAAUUCCGUGAAUCAUCGAAUCUUUGAACGCAUAUUGCGCCCUCUGGUAUUCCGGAGGGCAUGCCUGUCCGAGCGUCAUUAACAGCAAUCAAGCGCGGCUUGUGUUGAGCUUUUUUAACAAAUGUUCCCUUUUUAUGAACAAGCUUGAAAUACAAUGGCGAUGCCGAUUUUUUGGUGCCCAAGCGUUAUAGGGCUUUGUCACACGCUUUGGUGGCCCAAGUCGUGCUCUGUCUAGCCUUUUUUCUUUUAACCAGGAUUGACCUCGGAUCAGGUAAGAAUACCCGCUGAACUUAAGCAUAUCAAUAAGCGGAGGAAAAGAAACCAACAGGGAUUGCCUUAGUAACGGCGAGUGAAGCGGCAUAAGCUCAAAUUUGAAAUCUGGUUUCCAUUUUGGGGAACCCGAGUUGUAAUUUGCAGAGGAUGCUUUGGAUUUUGUGGCGGUCUAAGUUCCUUGGAACGGGACAUCAUAGAGGGUGAGAAUCCCGUAUGGGACCGUUUAGCAAUGUCCGUGUAAAGCUCCUUCGACGAGUCGAGUUGUUUGGGAAUGCAGCUCUAAGUGGGUGGUAAAUUUCAUCUAAAGCUAAAUACCGGCCAGAGACCGAUAGCGCACAAGUAGAGUGAUCGAAAGAUGAAAAGCACUUUGAAAAGAGAGUUAAACAGCAUGUGAAAUUGUUGAAAGGGAAGCGCUUGCGACCAGAUUCCGCCCGCGGAGGCUCAGCCGGCAAUUCUUUUGGCGGUGCAUUCCUUUGCGGUCGAGCCAGCGUCAGUUUGGAUGGUUGGUUAAAGACUUUCGGAAUGUGUCGUCUUUCGGGACGUCUUAUAGCUGAAGGUGUAAUGCGGCCUGUCCAGACUGAGGAACGCGCUCCGGCACGGACGCUGGCAUAAUGGUCGUAAGCGACCCGUCUUGAAACACGGACCAAGGAGUCUAACAUCCACGCGAGUGUUCGGGUGUUUAAACCCGUCCGCGCAGUGAAAGCGAACGGAGGUGGGAACUUUUUAUUAAGUGCACCAUCGACCGAUCCUGAAGUUUACGGAUGGAUUUGAGUAAGAGCGUGGCUGUUGGGACCCGAAAGAUGGUGAACUAUGCCUGAAUAGGGUGAAGCCAGAGGAAACUCUGGUGGAGGCUCGCAGCGGUUCUGACGUGCAAAUCGAUCGUCAAAUUUGGGCAUGGGGGUGAGUUUUUAUUUUCGUUAUAUUUUCUAUUUUUUAAUUAAAGAGCUUAACUAACAUAGCCCCAAACCUUAGGCGAAAGACCAAUCGAACUAUCUGGUAGCUGGUUCCUGC